UGCUUCCUUGCUUCUUGUUCUUCUUGUUCGGCCGAGCAUAAACUUAGAAACAAAAAUCUUUCCGGCGAGAAUUUCCGGCGACAUUCAAUACCAAACUUAUUCCUCUCUCACUGCCGAAUCCGGAGGCGAAGCGUCCUCCAAGGGGAAGGAGCUCGCCGAUCAGUGAGUGCGUCUCAGGACGAGACGACUGGUUCUACUGCGACGUUGGACAGAGUUGUGCUGUGCAGCAGUAGAGGUUUAUCUGUACUUCUUAUUUAGGUUUGUUAUAGUAUGCAUGUACCCUCUAUGGAUCCACUAGACUUGACCUUAUAUGUGGUUCUUGUAUUUAUAUUUUCGGGUUGUAUCUUAAAACCCUGGUUUGUGCUGUUAUUGUUGCUACUUGUGUUUAGGGUUCCUAGUACUAGGGAACCCUAUUUGUGAUAUUUUAUUAUGUUGUCUUCUA